CCCCUGUCCUACGGGUGGACAGGCGGAUCGAGUCGGCAGAGCGAAUGCGCGGACCUUCUGAUGCGACGAUCUGCGACUCGCGGAUCGAUUCGGCUGUCGGCGGAGACCUCCCCCUGGCUCGAGCUCCGGCCGCCUCCAGCCUCCCCUGCCCGCGCCACCAACGGUGGGGACGUGGCUCCCCGCUCUGGCAUCCCCGUCGUGCCUCCCCGCCGACGUCCUCGCUAUCUACCGUGCUCGCCGACGCCUCCUCCAACUCCAACUAGCCGGCGCCCUCGAAGCGGACGGCGACACCCCCUAUCCGGCGCCUCCACGACGAUGCGCUCCCCUCGUGUCCUCCCCCUCCCGCUGCCGCUGUCAGCCCAGGAUUCAGCGUUGCCCUCGAACGCACACGCCAUGGAAGUCGCCCCGUCGCCAGCCUCCCGCUACCGUGUUGAAUCUCUGAUUCGCACAUCAGAUUGAGUGUUUCAAGUAGUAGUUGGCUGGGCGGAACAACCUGAACCAAUCCUCUGCAACACUGAUAGGGAUCAGAUUGGAAGCCAGUGAUCUCGGCAUUGUGACAGCGUAACAACGGUAUAAAUAAUUUUUUGUGAGGUCAUUUGAGCCUACUACUCCAAUAUGCCAUUGAUACCAUGACUCUUUAUCUCUAAUGUGACCAUCAAGGAUGCGGGUUAUGCAAAAAAAUAGAGAAAUAGAACAUGCAUACUUAAAGAAGGUAUGCCACACGCUCAAAAGAUACGUCAAAAAAAAGAAAAAAAGAAAAGAAAGAUGAAUACGCAAAGAAGAUUUGCCACAUGCUCUCAAGGCAUGCAAAAAAAAGGGAGAGUCCACAUCCAAGGAAAAUAAAGAAGAGAGAAGGAUCAUGCAAAGGAGGUCAUCCACCCUUCACAAAAAAAAUAUUACACAUACUUGCACAUCUUGAUCGGAUUAUAUGACUCGUUUCUGUUUGGAUCUUAUUUUUUACUUAACUUUUUCUUUGUUUCGGAGCGGGGCGCGUAGCAACAUAAGAAAAUUAAGGAUGCCUCUUUACUCCUACACUGAGCUUCACAUAAGCCUAAUUAGAAGAUAGGAGAAAAGAAGGCAACAACUUUGCCUUGGUGAGGAUCUGAAACAAAAAGAAUGAUUUGAGAGGUUAAUUUGAGGAGCAAGACUGUUCUUUUGUUUCAAAAUAUAAAAAAAACCAAGUUUCUAACCAGGAAGAGCUAGGAACCUGAAGUCUUUAUUGUUCCAUUCUACAUUUAUCCAAGAAAGUAUGGUAGCCACUCCAAAGUUCGCAGGACUGGAGAAAGCUUGAAAUAACUUGUAUGCAGGUUACAUUCAAGGAGUGGCAUCCACCUUAGUUCUUUCUCCUUCACUCGAGGACGAGCAAACGCUAAGUGUGGGGUGUUGUUGAUGGUUGUUAAGUGCAAAAUAAAUAUCGUUAACACUUGCAUAAAUACUUAAAGAAUGAACACCAACAGUAGUGGUAGGAGUUAAUACUAACGAAUUCCACAAGUGUUGGUGAAUUGUUGAUUGCAGGUACACAAGUCUGAAGUAAGAGGAAACACGCAGAAGACGUCACAAGAAUGCAGAGAAGAUAGUAUCUGGCGUCAAACUUAUAAAGAGGGCCCAAAUGACAUGCUAAACCAACUUAUCUUUAGACGUGCACCCAAAAUCCUACAUGGAGCCCACGAGGAAUGCACCAACCGAAGAUGAGCUCCAAAGGCCUCAGAAUGGCGUGUGGUCGAACCCCUGGUUUGGCCGACCCCCUACUGGGCCCGAUCAGGCCCAACUUUCUCCAGGAAACUUCCACCGCUUCCCUACACCUGUUUCACAUGGGAUAGUACCACCUCGUGAAUGCAACCACAGAUCCGCCCCUGGAAAGGCUAUAUAGGGAGGAGGAGGAGAGCCCCCCACACAACACACAACAAGAGAAGCAAAGAGCUCCACUCCAAGGCGAAGCCCUACCUCCAUAAUGCUUAGAAAUAGGGAGAGAGUGAGGGGUAAUUCGGAGGGGCGCCGACUUGUCGGCGCUCUUCUCUGGCCUUGUACCUCGACGGAUGAUUCCUUUCUUAAGUAAGUAUUCAAGAUCUUCUAUGGUAGUUAGUGUUUCAGUGAA